CCUACGGGUGGCUGCAGUGAGGAAUAUUGGUCAAUGUCCGGAAGGCUGAACCAGCCAAGCCGCGUGAGGGUGGAAGGCGCAGAGCGUCGCAGACCUCUUUUGCCGGGGGACAAAAGGCCGGACUCGUCCGGUCCUGAGGGUACCCUGAGAAAAAGCAUCGGCAAACUCCGUGCCAGCAGCCCCGGUCAUCCGGGGGAUCCGAGCGGUAUCCGGAUUCAGUGGGAUUAAAGGGUGGGCAGGCGGGCCUUUAAGCCGGCUGAGAAAUCGCGGGGCUAAACCCCGCCGAGCCGUCGGAACUGGGGGCCUUGAGUGCGGCGGAGGCAUGCGGAAUGCGCGGUGUAGCGGUGAAAUGCAUAG
rnacentral:rRNA from 1 species